GGGUUGUGAGGUUAAGCGACUAAGCGUACACGGUGGAUGCCCUGGCAGUCAGAGGCGAUGAAGGACGUGCUAAUCUGCGAAAAGCGUCGGUAAGGUGAUAUGAACCGUUAUAGCCGGCGAUGUCCGAAUGGGGAAACCCAGUGCAAUUCGUUGCACUAUCGUUAACUGAAUACAUAGGUUAACGAGGCGAACCGGGGGAACUGAAACAUCUAAGUACCCCGAGGAAAAGAAAUCAACCGAGAUUCCCCCAGUAGCGGCGAGCGAACGGGGAGCAGCCCAGAGUCUGAAUCAGCUUGUGUGUUAGUGGAACGGUCUGGAAAGUCCGACGGUACAGGGUGAUAGUCCCGUACACCAAAAUGCACAGGCUGUGAACUCGAAGAGUAGGGCGGGACACGUGGUAUCCUGUCUGAAUAUGGGGGGACCAUCCUCCAAGGCUAAAUACUCCUGACUGACCGAUAGUGAACCAGUACCGUGAGGGAAAGGCGAAAAGAACCCCGGCGAGGGGAGUGAAAAAGAACCUGAAACCGUGUACGUACAAGCAGUGGGAGCACCUUCGGGUGUGACUGCGUACCUUUUGUAUAAUGGGUCAGCGACUUAUAUUCUGUAGCAAGGUUAACCGUAUAGGGGAGCCGCAGGGAAACCGAGUCUUAACUGGGCGUUAAGUUGCAGGGUAUAGACCCGAAACCCGGUGAUCUAGCCAUGGGCAGGUUGAAGGUUGGGUAACACUAACUGGAGGACCGAACCGACUAAUGUUGAAAAAUUAGCGGAUGACUUGUGGCUGGGGGUGAAAGGCCAAUCAAACCGGGAGAUAGCUGGUUCUCCCCGAAAGCUAUUUAGGUAGCGCCUCGUGAACUCAUCUUCGGGGGUAGAGCACUGUUUCGGCUAGGGGGUCAUCCCGACUUACCAACCCGAUGCAAACUACGAAUACCGAAGAAUGUUAUCACGGGAGACACACGGCGGGUGCUAACGUCCGUCGUGAAGAGGGAAACAACCCAGACCGCCAGCUAAGGUCCCAAAGUCAUGGUUAAGUGGGAAACGAUGUGGGAAGGCACAGACAGCCAGGAUGUUGGCUUAGAAGCAGCCAUCAUUUAAAGAAAGCGUAAUAGCUCACUGGUCGAGUCGGCCUGCGCGGAAGAUGUAACGGGGCUAAACCAUGCACCGAAGCUGCGGCAGCGACACUAUGUGUUGUUGGGUAGGGGAGCGUUCUGUAAGCCUGCGAAGGUGUGCUGUGAGGCAUGCUGGAGGUAUCAGAAGUGCGAAUGCUGACAUAAGUAACGAUAAAGCGGGUGAAAAGCCCGCUCGCCGGAAGACCAAGGGUUCCUGUCCAACGUUAAUCGGGGCAGGGUGAGUCGACCCCUAAGGCGAGGCCGAAAGGCGUAGUCGAUGGGAAACAGGUUAAUAUUCCUGUACUUGGUGUUACUGCGAAGGGGGGACGGAGAAGGCUAUGUUAGCCGGGCGACGGUUGUCCCGGUUUAAGCAUGUAGGCUGGUUGUCCAGGCAAAUCCGGAUAAUCAAGGCUGAGGUGUGAUGACGAGGCACUACGGUGCUGAAGUAACAAAUGCCCUGCUUCCAGGAAAAGCCUCUAAGCAUCAGGUAACAUUAAAUCGUACCCCAAACCGACACAGGUGGUCAGGUAGAGAAUACCAAGGCGCUUGAGAGAACUCGGGUGAAGGAACUAGGCAAAAUGGUGCCGUAACUUCGGGAGAAGGCACGCUGGUGUGUAGGUGAAGCCCCUGCGGGUGGAGCUGAGACCAGUCGAAGAUACCAGCUGGCUGCAACUGUUUAUUAAAAACACAGCACUGUGCAAACACGAAAGUGGACGUAUACGGUGUGACGCCUGCCCGGUGCCGGAAGGUUAAUUGAUGGGGUUAUCCGUAAGGAGAAGCUCUUGAUCGAAGCCCCGGUAAACGGCGGCCGUAACUAUAACGGUCCUAAGGUAGCGAAAUUCCUUGUCGGGUAAGUUCCGACCUGCACGAAUGGCGUAAUGAUGGCCAGGCUGUCUCCACCCGAGACUCAGUGAAAUUGAACUCGCUGUGAAGAUGCAGUGUACCCGCGGCAAGACGGAAAGACCCCGUGAACCUUUACUAUAGCUUGACACUGAACAUUGAGCCUUGAUGUGUAGGAUAGGUGGGAGGCUUUGAAGCGUGGACGCCAGUCUGCGUGGAGCCAACCUUGAAAUACCACCCUUUAAUGUUUGAUGUUCUAACGUUGGCCCCUGACCGGGGUUGCGGACAGUGUCUGGUGGGUAGUUUGACUGGGGCGGUCUCCUCCCAAAGCGUAACGGAGGAGCACGAAGGUUAGCUAAUCCUGGUCGGACAUCAGGAGGUUAGUGCAAUGGCAUAAGCUAGCUUGACUGCGAGCGUGACGGCGCGAGCAGGUGCGAAAGCAGGUCAUAGUGAUCCGGUGGUUCUGAAUGGAAGGGCCAUCGCUCAACGGAUAAAAGGUACUCCGGGGAUAACAGGCUGAUACCGCCCAAGAGUUCAUAUCGACGGCGGUGUUUGGCACCUCGAUGUCGGCUCAUCACAUCCUGGGGCUGAAGUAGGUCCCAAGGGUAUGGCUGUUCGCCAUUUAAAGUGGUACGCGAGCUGGGUUUAGAACGUCGUGAGACAGUUCGGUCCCUAUCUGCCGUGGGCGCUGGAGAAUUGAGGGGGGCUGCUCCUAGUACGAGAGGACCGGAGUGGACGCAUCACUGGUGUCCGGGUUGUCAUGCCAAUGGCACUGCCCGGUAGCUAAAUGCGGAAGAGAUAAGUGCUGAAAGCAUCUAAGCACGAAACUUGCCCCGAGAUGAGUUCUCCCUGAGACUUUAAGUCUCCUGAAGGAACGUUGAAGACGACGACGUUGAUAGGCCGGGUGUGUAAGCGCAGCGAUGCGUUGAGCUAACCGGUACUAAUGAACCGUGAGGCUUAACCUUACAACGCCGAAG
rnacentral:rRNA from 1 species